GGGAUAGAAUUCCAGGAGUAGCGGUGAAAUGCGUAGAUAUCUGGAGGAAUACCAAAGGCGAAGGCAGUCCCCUGGUCCGACACUGACACUGAGGUACGAAAGCGUGGGGAGCAAACAGGAUUAGAUACCCUGGUAGUCCACGCCCUAAACGAUGUCGAUUAGCCAUUGGAAGGACCCCUUUUCCUUUCAGUGACGUAGCUAACGCGUUAAAUCGACCGCCUGGGAAGUACGACCGCAAGGUUAAAACUCAAAGGAAUUGACGGGGACCUGAACAAGCGGUGAAUGAUGUGGAUUAAUUCGAUGCUACGCGAAGAACCUUACCUACCUUUGACAUGGCCAAAGUUCUACCGAGAGGCGGAAGUACUCGUAAGAGGAUUGGCGCACAGGUGCUGCAUGGUUGUCGUCAGUUCGUGUCGUGAGAUGUUGGGUUCAGUCCCGCAACGAACGCAACCCUUAUCUUUAAUUGCUCCUAUUUUAACAGGCACUUUAAAGAAACUGCCAAUGAUAAGUUGGAGGAAGGUGGGGAUCACGUCAAGUCCGCAUGGCCUUUAUAGGUAGGGCUUCACACGUCAUACAAUGGUUAGAACAAAGAGCUGCAAAUUCGUAAGAAGGAGCCAAUCUCACAAACCUAACCUCAGUUCGAAUUGCGGUCUGCAACUCGAGCGCAUGAAGCCGGGAUCGCUAGUAAUCGUGGAUCAGAAUGCCACGGUGAAUACGUUCUAGGUCUU
rnacentral:rRNA from 1 species